AUACGUAGGUCCCGAACGUUGCGCGAAAUUACUGGGCGUAAAGGGUCCGUAGGCGGUCUGGUAAGUGGAAGGUGAAAGCCUGGGGCUCAACUCCAGAAUUGCCUUCCAAACUGCCGGACUUGAGGCAGGGAGAGGUCGGCGGAACUCCCGGUGUAGCGGUGAAAUGCGUAGAUAUCGGGAGGAACACCAGUGGCGAAGGCGGCCGACUGGAACUGUCCUGACGCUGAGGGACGAAAGCCAGGGGAGCGAACCGGAUUAGAUACCCUAGUAGUCC
rnacentral:rRNA from 1 species